UCUCGUAAAAGAGCUGUUUAAUCUCGCGAGUUUUCCUGUUACCGCCAUGCCUCGAAAUGCCCCGCGUUGAAAAUUUUGAAAUUGAUUUGUACAACUGCAACAUUGUUUUAUUUACGACGUCCGUGCGAGUAAUGACGCGGUUAACAAUUUAUGACAACAAAUGCCCGGCGACUGAAAGCGCGUACUUCCGGCAAGGUGGUACUUCGUACGCGUUGGUAUCGUACGAGUCGGGGAAUGAAUAACGGACCUGUCCGCCUCUCGUAAAAGGGAUAUCCGAUGCUCGAGCCGCCGACGUGCUGCUUCAUCUUCUUUGAGGACUACGCGAGUUUCGACGACUAAAAACCCGAUAAUUGACAGCGCGAGUACUAGUCCAUCUCGAGCGCUUUAUUGGCAUAACAGUAUGUCGGUCUGGCAUGCAUCAAUAAUGCAUCGUGUCCUUGAGAGAGACUUUGGUCAUUACUUUUCGCGUGAGAGAGUUAUGUGGGAAAAAAACGAACGAUUUUCUGGAUGACAAACUUUGACUAAUGUCGAGAGUCAGACAGCCAUCGAUAAAAUCGGCAUGCCAAGAAAACGAGGAAUCUUCGAACGAGUAUAAAAUUACAUAGCCGCGUACAAAGAAUAUUGUGAGAGACACGAUCUCUACUUUGUUACCGGAAGGCGCUUUGAAUGCCGGCGCGAAGGAAGUUGGAAUAAGGAUCUCGCGCAGGACGAAUUCACGUAUCUGAUACGGCGAAUCUCGGCAAACGGAGGGAGCGGCGCGAACACACGUGCAUACAAACGUAGCGCCCACGUUUUUAGUUUACGACUGCAAAUAGAAUCGAAUGACUCGCGAGAUUAAAGAGUCUUUUCCUGUUCGUCGCGCCAUUUACUCAGGAACGGGCCCUUUGAGAGCAAACCCCACGGAGCAAGCGGCAAGUUUCCAGCGAGAAAUGCCACGCUCGUGUAAACACGAAGAAGAUCUCGGGAAUGCAACGACUUCUUCACGGAUAAUCCAUAAGUGGCUGUUUUGUCCGGCACGUAGUGCCCAUUCUCGUGCCGCAUUUUCGUUACACGUGCUCCUCUGCUAAAUAUAAUUGUUUCCACGGAAAUAGGGUAAGAUAUAGUCAGAGUCUAUUAAACUACGUUUUCAAUAUGCAUGUAAUACCGAUUAGAAUUCUAUUAGAUUACUUUUAUAAAAUAAAUGUGUGUUAUGUCGCGAUGAAAAAAUUAGUACUAAAACUAAAAUAAAAA